UCUCCUUUCUACUGCUACCUUUAGGGCGAUCACUGCCACAACAAAUCAGCUGUAAGCUGAGCCUCUAGUGUAAAGCAGGACCGCACCUGGUCCUUAUUUUUCCAGCCCAUGCAGUGAAGGGCAUUCGAGCGCUGCAUUUUCGAAGAAAGUACGGCCGCUGCCACUGCCGUUAACGAGCUAACACCCCGCAGGCCGCUCGAGUGUGUCCUUUUCAAUUAAAGGGUACCGGGAGGCAGGAUCCUAGCAGCGGCGACGCCUUGUCCACGCAAGCGAAAAGAAGAAACGCUCACAAAGAUCAAUACGGGACCUCGAGUUUGUGCUUGAAGAAGCGUUGUAAUUUCCCCCAUGAGCGGGUUGAGGGAAGUAGGGGGUAAUAAUACGGAAGCAAAAUUUAACAGCGUCACUUCGCUCAUCUUCAACCGAAUUGCAACAACGCUGGUGAUCCUGAUAAUGAUGGCUUAAAUAAACAUAAUAAGCUUGUGCCUAAAUGUCCCGCCCAUAGACGAACGUGAAUUCGAAGUUACCAAAAUCUGCACGUCUGCCCCACCCCACCCCACCCUGUAGCUGUUGUUUAAUAGCAAAUUUAAUGCAUGAAUCUCUAAA